rnacentral:rRNA from 1 species
GAUGAGCGCUGGCGGCGUGCCUAAUACAUGCAAGUCGAGCGAAUGGAUUGAGAGCUUGCUCUUAUGAAGUUAGCGGCGGACGGGUGAGUAACACGUGGGUAACCUGCCCAUAAGACUGGGAUAACUCCGGGAAACCGGGGCUAAUACCGGAUAACAUUUUGAACCGCAUGGUUCGAAAUUGAAAGGCGGCUUCGGCUGUCACUUAUGGAUGGACCCGCGUCGCAUUAGCUAGUUGGUGAGGUAACGGCUCCCCAAGGCAACGAUGCGUAGCCGACCUGAGAGGGUGAUCGGCCACACUGGGACUGAGACACGGCCCAGACUCCUACGGGAGGCAGCAGUAGGGAAUCUUCCGCAAUGGACGAAAGUCUGACGGAGCAACGCCGCGUGAGUGAUGAGGGCUUUCGGGUCGUAAAACUCUGUUGUUAGGGAAGAACAAGUGCUAGUUGAAUAAGCUGGCACCUUGACGGUACCUAACCAGAAAGCCACGGCUAACUACGUGCCAGCCGCCGCAGUAA